CCUAAAAAUGUCAACUAGGUAGGACACGUUCAGUUAUUUCAGUAUAUAUUAGUUUACCGUAAUGUUAAUUUAAACUACAUAUUUAGUUUAUAUCUAUGCUAUAAUACUAUCCUGUUGCCAUUAUGUUAUUAGUUCAUUAUAUAUAGGUAUGAUGAAAAAAAUUUAACUCAUUGGCCUACAAUCUAUUCUUUUUUUCUACUGAAGUCUGUUCUGUUUGCACUAUAGAUACUGAGAAGAAAGUGUUGUUACGCCUACUUACUUGUUUUAAGUGAACUCUAUUGCCUAUAUAAUAUGAAUGAAAUUUGAUAACACAAAACAAGACGUAUUAAGGAGUACCUGCGACCCUUUUUUUUCCCGACCCUUUAAGUGGCCAAACGCGUCUCGCCUUGAGCGUCAGCUAUUUUUAACACAUGUAUUAAUUUUACGGUUUUCAAAUUUUUGCUUAAAUAUGAUUUCAGAUACGUAAGGCGUUUUUGAGUAAGCUGAUAUGUAAUUAGUCCUCCUAAUUAUAUGACGACAUUUUAUAAAUGUUCCAAGUAACGAGGUAUCGAGUGCCACUGAAUGUUGUCCUGUUAUUUUAUUUUGAGCUAAACUACCACAUUCAGCAUCUCUACACUCGACCCGCGACCCCAAGAACCAGUGUUCUUCUACUCUAGACUUGGUAAUAUUAGUCCCUACAAUGCAAGUUACAUCGGUAGAGUGCAGCCAAGAGGAGAAAAAAUUAUAUUGAUAAUAUUAUAAUAUAUAGAUAUAAUUUAAAAAAAUUCAAGAAAAAUCCAAAUCAUAUUGUUCACAUUCCAGUUUUCUUACGGCAGCAAAAAUGUAGCCGACGAGGCUACUCUAUGUAAUAAACUAUUUAUAUAUAUAUAAUCCUGGUCAUUCCGGCACCAAAAAUGUACCUUACCCUAUCUACUACUAAACUAAUUAACUAAAAUUCAACCAGGAUUAAAUAAAAAUAGGAAAAUAAAUAAAUUUGGCCAUGUGAUCGUCUAGUGUAUUUACGUUGUGAACCUUAGUACCCUUCGUCUUUUAUGUGAAAACUGAUACGAUUUGGAUUUUUUCAAAACUAUCCCUAAAUAUCCUAUGAAUUUGUAAAUAUUCCUACUGUAUAUUUUUAUUAACACUAUUGUUAGACAAUUAAAAUAAAAAAUAGUAAAUAAUAUAUAUUUUUUAGAAUUUAUCUCCUACCGGGCCCUACCGUGACCAGUUACCGUGAACAGUAGUAAGCCCUUUUUGUUUGUAAUUUAAAAACUUAUAUUUUCCUUUUAAUAUAUCUCUUUGCUAACCUAGCUAGCUAAAGGAAAAUAUGUAUAUGUAACCAUUGUAACCAUAAGUAAAUAUUGCAAAGAAUAGUACGUACAAACAUACUUUAUCUACUGUCACGCCCGGAUGAAGACGGGUCUCUAAGCUAAUUAAUACCCAUU